AUUGAACGCUGGCGGCAGGCCUAACACAUGCAAGUCGAGCGGAUGAUGGGAGCUUGCUCCCUGAUUCAGCGGCGGACGGGUGAGUAAUGCCUAGGAAUCUGCCUGGUAGUGGGGGACAACGUUUCGAAAGGAACGCUAAUACCGCAUACGUCCUACGGGAGAAAGCGGGGGACCUUCGGGCCUUGCGCUAUCAGAUGAGCCUAGGUCGGAUUAGCUUGUUGGUGAGGUAAUGGCUCACCAAGGCGACGAUCCGUAACUGGUCGGAGAGGAUGAUCAGUCACACUGGAACUGAGACACGGUCCAGACUCCUACGGGAGGCAGCAGUGGGGAAUAUUGGACAAUGGGCGAAAGCCUGAUCCAGCCAUGCCGCGUGUGUGAAGAAGGUCUUCGGAUUGUAAAGCACUUUAAGUUGGGAGGAAGGGUUGUAGAUUAAUACUCUGCAAUUUUGACGUUACCGACAGAAUAAGCACCGGCUAACUCUGUGCCAGCCGCCGCAGUAACAC
rnacentral:rRNA from 1 species